AAAAACCCAAAAAUGGACGCCGAAAAAGUAUCCAUCAUGAACGCCGUCGUCGGCCGGUUAAGUGCGAUCCGCCAAGGCCGACAAACGAGACCUUCUCCAUGGCUGCCGACGAGACAUUCGCCAAGGUCGCGCCGGUCGCCUCUCAACUCACGAUCGUGUAAUAUAUUUUGUAUUACAUUCUGAACGAGGCGAAGAUGGGACAUCGGCACGAUGUGAUGGACGAAGUCCUAGGCU